rnacentral:lncRNA from 1 species
AAAUGAAUGUCAUAUAUAUGAAAAGCACUUGAGUAAAAGUCUUAAAAAAUCUGAUACUAAAUGUACUGAAUUAUCAAAAGUACAAGUAAAAGUAAAAUCAAACAUAUAUUUGAAUGUAUCUACUGUAUAUCUGAUAUCUAUAUAUAUUCUGAUUAUCAGACAAAAAUCUUUCACUUGCAAUUAAAGAUUGCAAUUUGCAAAGUCAGUCGUAACUAAUAAAUGUAAAGGAGGAAUAGGACAAUAUUUGCCUUCAAAAUGUAGUGAAGUGGAAGUAUACAGUUGCAGAAAAUGGAAAUACAGAAGUACAAGUACCUCAAAUCGUAUAAAAGUACAUUACUUGGGUAAAUGCACUUGGUUACGUUCCAUCACUGCUUUGAUUUUCAGUGCUUGAGUACAUUUUGCUGGUUAAACUUCUGUGUCUGAACAGGAGUUUGACUUUUUCCACUAUUGCCUUAUAGACACACCCACAUGACCCCCCCCCCUCCUGGAGUAUCGAGGCAAAUAUGGUCGCAGGGAGCACAGCAGAGACCCCCUCCUCCUCCUGUGUACCCCUUCUUACGCAAAUUUUCCUUCAUGCGUUAUGUGACCGGCUGUUGUGGAGGCUGAACAUCAGGGAGCUGUCAGCAGCAGCUCCGCAGACAGAGACGCUCUCUUGUGGAUAGUUAUCGACCACCAUGGCUUCCACUCCCUCCGCCUCUGCCCUGUCUGCUGUUCUCCGGUGUCGGGGGAAAAUCUGGACGAGGAAUCCGCCUACCAAGCGACCUGCCGCCUCGGUGUACAGCCUGGGACUGUCCGGCGGGGCGGUGCGCGACCCGCCAGCUGAGCGCGCCCGGUCCAACCAGGCGUCAGCGUGGGAGGCUUUCCUCCGAGGGGAGCGUGUUGUUGUGGGGAGAAGACUCGCUGUGGCGUGUCCAGAAGCAGCGCUGGUGAUAGGCGGCAGGAUGGAGACAGCGUCAGAGAGGACUUCCUGCAGGUAAAUGGACAAAUCCACAGUCCCACUCUCCUCAUCUCCACCAAGGACGACUCCGGCUCUGGACAAACAGUCACGGAGGACAGACCUGACUGAAACUGACCAUACAGCAACAAAAAGACACACUCUGCGACUUAUUUAUUGACUUUUACUCUGAUUUCACAACACACGGCCCACAAUUGGACUUCAACUCGGCAAACAACUGGUUGGUUUAGAAUGUUUUUGCUGUAGUACUCAAGGAAAAGUGAGCAACACUGUAACAAUAAAUACAUUUAACCAACACGUCUUGUUUGUAGUCCCACAUUAUGCUAGAUGUGUUCAAGGUCUCCAGUGGAUAGUUAAAUAAUGGAUGAACAUGUUAAUUUUAAGCCUGCAAUGUAAAAAAAAAAUGCCUCCAGUGAUGUCACUCAAUGGCUAAAUUGCAUUGUGGGUAAUAUAGGCAACAUGUUUUAGAAAGGAAGAGGAAUGCACGGUAUAAAAAGGGGGCAUAUCUCUGGUUCUCCAUCCAUCCAUCACCUGUAGCCUCUUAACCUGUGCAGGGAGUCGAUCCCAGCUGACCCCUGGCGAGCAGCUGUAGGGCGGGUCGUCAAGUCCUGUAGAAAUGCAGGUCCAUUUACCAAAGUCCCUGGACAAGUCGCCAGUUCAUCACAGGGCUGGCAUAUAGGGACAAACCACCCUUCACACACAGAUUGACACCUCAGUGCAAUUUAGAGUGUCAGAUUAACCUCACAUGCAUGUUUUUGGAUCGCGGGUGGAGUGCACGAGGAGAACAUGCUCCACACACCUUCUGGCUGUGAGGCAGUGGCGCUAACUGGCAUCCCACAAUGCAACCUAUCCACUGAGUGACAUCACUGGAGGCAAUAUUUCAGAUCACAUGGAGCUUCCUCUGGAGCCACAGAGGGCUUUAUAGUACUUCUCUGUGUAUAGCCUUACAUCAGGGACAAAAGGAGUCAUUAACCUUUAAUUCAUGUGUACCAAUUAGCCUCAAUGAGUUAUGGAAUGAUGUGCUCUAAGUUAAAUGUUAAAAAGGAAGUCAAUCAGAGAUUUUGCUCUCCCAAAAGUGGGACUUUUUCUGCAGAAUGCUGUGUCAAAAUGUCCUUUUAAGUUACACUUUCAGUGAAUGUGGCCUAGUUGCCGUCGACCACUGCUGCUGAAACACCCUGAAGAUAUUCAAAACAUGCACAAACAGCACCACUGAGCUCUUUCCCCAUGAGUCACUGUUAUGUGUUUGUUUGUUUGGCAACAGCAAGGGUAGACAGAAGCAAAGGCACGUUCCUCCAUUUGACGAUUCUCAUCCCUUGAGAUAGAUGCAAGUAACAUCGCUGCAGCUCAAGCAGAAGAAGACAUUUUUAGCCUACAUUUGCUGAGUCUCUGCUGAAAAUCAUGUCUCAGCAUCAUUGUCUCAUCGUGAUAUAUUUCGAGUCCAUAAACGAUUUUAAAUUGUUUUUCUUUGCUGCUCCAAAAUGUUAUUUCUAGCCUUUAUGCCUCGGACCUUUUUUUUGUUGUCUAUUUUGUUCAUGUGAGCACGUUCCUUUCAUUUACACUGACAGCAUUUGUAUAAUACAGUGGUGAUGUUUCUUCUAGGUGCUGUAUCAUAUGGCAACUGGACCUGUUUCAGCCAAGAGGCUUCCUCAGCUCUAACUAACAGAAGGGGAGUUACUUGCUUUUAAACUCUUAUCACCCACCUACAAUGUGUGUAAAAAUAACAAAAGAAAGGAAGGUAUUAAGUGAGAAUCACAAGGCUGAGGCAAAAAGGCUAAAGAAAAACAUUUAGGGGCGGCAUUCGAGGAGACAUUUAACAAAACAACAAUCGCUUAUAACACCGAAAUAUAACAAUGACGAAACAUGAAGGUUGAAAAAUGAUUUUCACACGUGGGUUUGAAAUUAGCAGAGGCCCGGCAAAUGGCUAAAAAUGUAUUUGUUCUGCUGGAGCUGCAGAGAUGUUACUUGCAUUGUCAAAUGGAGGAAUAUAGGAAAACAUAGUUUAAAAUCCUGUCAGUUAGAACUGAAGAAGCCUCUUGGACGAGAGCUGAAACACGUAAGGUUGCUCUUACAUUUAGCAGAUGCUUGUGUCCAAAGCAAAUUACAGAAAUUCAUACAUACAUUCAUACACUGAUGGUGGUGGCUGCCAUGCAAGGUGCCAAUCAACACAUCAGGCCAUGCAGAACGGGGGAAUUUAACCAGCAACCUUUGGAUAACAGGACGCUGGCUCUUCCUGUGACCCACAACCAUCCCUAUGCCUACGAUACAGCACUUAUGAUGACCUGGAUGACUGAGAACCUUCAUUAACAGUGCUGAUGUUUCUUCCCCUACAAGAGCUCUGUAUGAUUUUCUUGUAAACAAAACAAAACAAAACAAAAAUAAAUAAAUAAAUAAAAAAGGUUGGAUAGUUAUUAAGGUAAAAAACAAACAAACAAACAAACAAAAAAAAUGGAUAUAUCAUUUUUCGACGCCACGGUGUGUGAGAGCUGACGUUUCCUCACGAAGACGUCACAGGUUUGUUAAUUGGCUCCGCUGAGAGCCGCUCAUACGUCACAACGUUGUGUAACGUCUCGAGGUGACAGUUGAGGCGGGACUUCCCGUGACUGGUCGAUACCCAGGAAGUCGUCGUGUUACUUUUCCUCCUCCUCCUCCUCCCUCUCCUCCUCUUCCAGUCUCGUGAGAAAGAAGAUAAACUAAGGGGCGUUAAGUUGCUUUUAUAGCCAGGAAACUAGCAGGAGAAGAGUUUAACAGCAGCCGCACGAGGUCUCUCGGCUCCCGUCGAUCAACUUUGCUGGUUGUCAUCGAAGAAACGGCGGAGAAAUGUGCAGCAGAGGGAGAAGUGGCCACUCUGUCAGGGUAAGGGCUAAUUUCAACACGCUCCUCCUUAAGCUACAGUAUUUACAGUCAUUCGAGUAUUACCCGUCUGUCGAGCUGCUGGGAAGACAGCGAGGUCGAAAGUCAGUGUUUAUAGUUGUUGUUUUUCAGUCUUCAUAAGCCACCGCUCGGCUUAUCUGUAGAGGCAGCCACAGGUGAUAAGAGGAAAUCGAUCAGAGGCAGUUUGGUGAAUCAUCACUCCAGUUCAGAACCAUGAAGCAUACUUCCUUUGAAAUGGAAAUUUGCAUACAUGUGCCUGAUCAUCUGGUUUCAUUCUUUAGAAACAGUUUUGUCGCCCAAGGGCUAUUUCCUCUUUGAGUUUCAUUUUGAUAGCAAUUUUUAUGUUGCUAAAGU